UAAAACUCCAAGGAACUACCACCACCAACCCAAUUAAACUAUAUACCAGCCAUAACUACACGCAGCUGCACACCUUUGGCAAUAAAAGAACCAAAUCUGAGCACUAAAAGCACCCAGCAUAGCAGCUCCACAAAACACUGAGGAGAUUCAAGCUGCAAACGGAGAGAAUCUGGAGGUUUAACUGUACAGAGGAGCAGAAGAGAACCAUUAGCUGCCGGUGAAGCAACCAUGUGAGCCACCAUCACGAGCCACCCAGUGUCAAGGACAAAUGAUUGGUGGUAUUCUGAUAUCAGGCUAGUCUGCACCUAGAAGUAAGUAUAUGUGGCUUUGUUCUGCGUAUUAUCUGUUAGACUCAGAGAAACUAAGAAAAAUGAGGGAUGUUAAACUCAUAGAGACUAAGAGAAAUGAGGGUCAAAAAACUGUGUCCCUCCUCAUUCUAAUUUCUGAUAUCAGUGCAAUGUAUUUACAAGCUGUCAAGUUGACUUUCAACCCACUAAAUUAGCUAAACUGACAUAUGUAUAUUUACAGCUAAUUAUGCUAAUUGAAAGAAUGAUUAUUUGACUAUUAUAAAUAAAUGUGCAAUCUUAUAGAAUGUGAUAUGCCAUUAAUUCCAUUGACACCCCCCCAUCAAAUUGAUGCUAGUAAACCUACAAGCAUCAAUUUGCCAAGUAGAAAAUUGUGCUGCUGACGUGUCAAAUUUUUAGUGAAAAUGUCAGCUGUUUGAACAGAUGUUGAGACAUGUGGUAGAUUGAUGAUUCUUCGAUCAUAGAAUUAACCUCGAUGUGUUUCGUCCAUUCAUGGAAAACUGGAUUUGCUACAAUCUGAAUGGCACUGGUGUUGUCAGCAUCUAGCGGAGUCGGUUGUUCUUGAGAGAAUCCGAGCUCUGCGAGAAGUCCACGCAACCAUAUUAUUUCAGAACAAGCAGCAGACAUUGCACGGUAUUCUGUUUCAGUGGAUGACUUUGAGACUGAAUCUUGUUUCUUACAUUUCCAUGAAAUAGGAGCAUUUCCUAGAAACAUACACCAGCCAGUACUAGAUUUUCUUGUGUUUGGAUAGCCAGCCCAAUCGGCAUCACUAUAUGCUUGAAGUUUGAUUGAUGAACCAAUAGGAAAAAAUAAGCCACGCUUUAGGGUGCCAAGGAGGUAUCUAAUGAUUCGUUGUAUUGCUGAAAGAUGAAAAUGUCGCGGAGCUUGCAUGAACUUACUAAUUGUGUGUACAACAAAAGAAAUAUCUGGGUGAGUGAUAGUUACAUAGAUGAGACUUCCCACCAGUUUGCGAUAUUUAGUGGGAUCAUCAAGGUGGUCACCUUCAUCUCUUCUAUAUUUAACAUUAACUUCCAUGGGAGUGUCAACAGGGGUUGCAUUUGUGAGUCCAGCUAGCUGGACCAAGUCUUGAAUAUACUUUUGUUAAUUUAGAAAAAUACCUUCAUGAUGAUAAUGCACCUCUAAACCCAAGAAAUAAGUGAGACGGCCCAACUCCUUCAUAUGAAAAGUUGAAUGCAACAGGUUUUUUAUCCUAGAAAUAACAUCUUGAUCAGAACCAGUCACAACAAUGUCAUCCACGUAAACAAGAGAUGGAUCAUACUGACUUUGACUGAAUUCAAAACAAGUAGUGUUGACCGAAACAUUUCAAACCAUACUCUUGGUGCCUGUUUCAAUCCAUACAAAGAUCGUUUUAGUUUGCAAGCAGUAUUAGGUGAAGGUGUAGGCAUACCAUUAGGAAGUUUGAUGUAAUUUCUUCCUGAAGAUCACCGUGGAGGAAUGCGUUUUUGAAAUCCAUUUGAUGUAACGGCCAAGCUUGUGACACAACAAUAGCAAGAAUAAUGUGCACGGUUGUCAUUUUGGCAACCGGAGCAAACGUCUCAUCAUAGUCUAGUUCAUAUUCUUGCUUAUUUCCAAGCACAGCUAAACGAGCCUUGUAAUGAUCUAUAGAUCCAUCCGAGCGCAGCUUUAUAGAAAACACAAACUUGCUACCUAAAGGUUUAACAGAUUAGGGACAUGGCACUAUAUCCCAUGUUUGAUUUUCUUCUAAGGCAAGAAGUUCAGAUUUUAUAGCUUUCUGCUACCAAUCAUUCUCCAUGGCCUCUUUAUAAGAUGAAGGAAUAGGAAUAGAAGAUAAUGAUGUUGUCAUGCAAUUGAUAUACCUAUCAGGGGGUUUACUUUCGUGUGAGCUGUGUCGUAGAGGAGCUUGUUCUGGUUCUUCUAUUGGACCAGCAACCAAGGAAUUAUCUUGAGGGGGCCCAUGAGUGGCAGUACUACGUCUUUUGUAGGUCAAGAGAGGUUUAGAAGGUUGUUGCCCUGAAUGAUAGUUAGAAAACAAUGGCAAAAUAUAAACUGGAGAAGAGACAAGGUCAUGAUGUGAUGCAAAAAAAUAUAUUUAUUUUAUUGGAAUAUGACAUUUCUAGAUACCCGAAUCCUACGAAGGUUAGGAUCAUAACAUAGAAAACCCCUUUGAUGAGGAGAAUAUCCAAGAAAAGCACAUUCAACAAAUUGUGCAGUGAGCUUGGUGCGUUCUUGUGGAGGAAGAUGGACAUAACACACACAACCGAAGACACGUAAAGUGUUGUAAUUUGGUGGGUGAUCAUAUAAUCGAGUGAAAGGGGAUUCAUUACCUAUUGAUGGAGAUGGCAUUCUGUUUAUAAGAUGGACAUCAGUGGAAAGAGCUUCAUACCAAAAUCGUGAAGGCACAUGAGACUCUAACAAAUGGGUGCGAACAACAUCGAGCAAAUGACGGUUUUUUCUUUCCGCUACCCCAUUUUGUUGUGGAGUCGAGGCGCAUGACCUUUGAGAUAUAAUGCCAUUAGAUUGCAAAAAUGCUUGAAAUGAGUGUGACAUGUAUUCCCCCCAUUGUCAGAGCGAAAUAUUUUGAUUUUUGAUGAAAAUUGGGUCUGAACAUAAGCAUGAAAAAAAUUGAAAGAGGAAAAGACUUCAUCUUUUGAUCGCAGAAAAUAGACCCAUGUGAAACGACUAUAAUCAUCAAUAAAAGUUACAAAUUAUUUGUAAUGAGCAUGAGAUAUAACUGGUGUCACGCCCCAAACAUAACUAUGGAUUAUAUCAAAAGGUUGUGUUACAUUAGACUAAUGUGUUGGAAAUGGCAAUAUUUUAAUUUUACCAAGCUUACAAGGAAUGCAAUCAAAAUGAACAGAAUUAAGUGAUGGAGUGUGUUUAUUUCCAAGAAAAUUUGAUUUUAGCAACUGAUGAAGUACAUUUGUGUUUGGAUGUCCAAGACGCUUAUGCCACACUUGAUAAUCAACAAUAGCAGAAUUACAAGAAAAUAAAGGCAAAGAAAGACUUUGAGGCAAUGAAAACUGGAUUGGGAAAAGACGUCCAACUUUAGGCCCCUUCGCGAUUAUCUUCCCUUAUUGUUGAUCCUGCACAAGACAACCAAAUUGUGAGAAUUGUACUUGACAAUCAUUCUCGACUAAUUGACCAAUCGAAAUGAGAUUACUAGUGAGACCAGCAGAGACAAAAAAUUUUGUUAGAGAUGAAGAAAUAGCAUUGGUGGCUGUUAUAGGUAAUUGAUUUCCAUCAGCAAUAUGUAUCUUGAGAUUUCCAAAAUAUUUUUUUUGAUAUUAGUAAGAAAUUGGGCAUUGCUGGUCAUGUGGUUGGAAGCCCCCGAAUCAAAGUACCAGGAAGAAGAGGAUUUACCUGAGAUUCCUAGAGCAGAGAAGGCAGAAAUGACCAUUUGUUGAACCAUUUCAGGGGUCACCGUUGAAGUAGUAGGAGCAUUUUGCUGAACCGGUGUUGGUUUGACCGAGUUGCUAGGAAUAGAUGAAUCAACUGAGGUUGUAAAGGCUGUGACAUUUCUCCUUGGUGGCCUUAUUGGGCAUUCCUUAAGAAUAUGUCCCUCUUUUUUGCAUAAGUUGCAGACUUUGUUUGGUUUGAAGCAUAAUGUCCCAAUUUCUUGCAACAGAAACAUUGAAAAUCACUCAUGUCAUGACUUUUUGUCUUUCCUCGUGCCACAUAAGCCACUAGAACAGUAGGCAACUUUUGAUCUUCAAUGAUGGAUUGUGUUAGUAGACGUUGUUCUUCAUGUAACAGAUCAUUGAAACAUGCAUCCAAUGAUGGUACAGGGUUUCUAUGCAUGAGAUUGAACCAAAUACAUUCAAAUUCAGAUCUCAAUUUCAUAAGAAAUUGAUCUCGCUUGGUAGUUUCAUGAACAGAUUGCAAAGAACUUAGACCUUCAGAAGUCAAGUCUGCAUACACUAUUUCAGUAUAUUCAGCCCAAAGAUUUAUGAAUUGAGAGUAAAAUUCAGAGUUGAAGAGACUAUCAUGUUUAAAUAAGGAUUUGUCGUGUUCAAGCUGGAAUCUUCGAGCGGCGUUGUUCUGAUUGUAAACUUUCUUCAAGUAAUUCCACAUUGUGGCUGCUGUUUUGUAAGCUCGCAGAUUCAGGACAAUGUUUGGAUCAACAGAACCUAGGACCCAAGACAUGACUUGAGCAUCUUUGACUACCCAUUUGGCAUGUGCAACCUUAUUUUUCUCUUUCUCAGGAACUGGAGUGCUACCAUCAACAUGACCCCACAAAUCUUUUCCUGUGACAAAUAUCUCGAAAUGGAAUGCCCAAGUUGAGUAGUUUUUGCAAUUAAGGCGAACCACCAAGAUUUCAUGUUUUUCGGUAGACAUGUGACUAUGGAAAUAGGUAUUGAACAAGAAUGUGAGGUUAAUCUGGACUAGGAAACGAAUAACUGAGACACAUAAGGGAAAAGAAGAAGGAAAAAAAAACAGACUAGGUUCUUGGAUUGUAACCUAGGCUGAUACCAUGUUAGACUCAGAGAAACUAAGAGAAAUGAGGAAUGUUAAACAAAAAGAGACUAAGAGAAAUGAGGGUCAAAAAACCGUGUCCCUCUUCAUUCUGAUUUCUGAUAUAAAUACAAUGUAUUUACAAGCUGUCAAGUUGACUUUCAACCCACUAAAUUAGCUAAACUGACAUAUGUAUAUUUACAGCUAAUUAUGCUAAUUGAAAGAAUGAUUAUUUGACUAUUACAAAUAAAUGUGCAAUCUUAUAGAAUUUGAUUUGCCAUUAAUUCCAUUGACAUUAUCAUGUCACCAAGGUUGGAUUACAGGAGUCUGUUUCUCUCAAGUCCUAACUUUCUAUCUG